UAGAAAUAAAAGAUGUCAUUUCGUAUAACUGCAGGAAUAGGGCCUGCGAGUCUCUACCAAGCUACCGUAAAUAGCUUGACUACGAAAAAUCAGGUACUCUUC
rnacentral:ncRNA from 2 species